rnacentral:rRNA from 1 species
AGCGAACGCUGGCGGCAGGCCUAACACAUGCAAGUCGAGCGCCCAGCAAUGGGAGCGGCAGACGGGAUAGUAACACGUGGGAACGUACCCUUCAGUUCGGAACAACCCAGGGAAACUUGGGCUAAUACCGAAUACGUCCGUAAGGAGAAAGAUUUAUCGCUGAAGGAUCGGCCCGCGUCUGAUUAGCUAGUUGGUGAGGUAAUGGCUCACCAAGGCGACGAUCAGUAGCNGGUCUGAGAGGAUGAUCAGCAUCACUGGGACUGAGACACGGCCCAAACUCCUACGGGAGGCAGCAGUGGGGAAUAUUGGACAAUGGGCGCAAGCCUGAUCCAGCCAUGCCGCGUGAGUGAUGAAGGCCCUAGGGUUGUAAAGCUCUUUUACCCGGGGAAGAUAAUGACUGUACCGGGAGAAUAAGCCCCGCUAACUUCGUGCCAGCCGCCGCCGUAAU